rnacentral:rRNA from 1 species
UACGGGGGGUGCGAGCGUUGUCCGGAAUUACUGGGCGUAAAGCGCGCGCAGGCGGCCACUUAAGUCCGCUGGUGAAAGACCGGGGCUCAACCCCGUGUCAGCCAGGGAUACUGGGUGGCUGGAGACAGGUAGAGGCAAGCGGAAUUCCGGGUGUAGCGGUGGAAUGCGUAGAGAUCCGGAAGAACACCGGAGGCGAAGGCGGCUUGCUGGACCUGGUCUGACGCUGAGGCGCGAAAGCGUGGGGAGCGAACAGG